AAUAGAUACCCUGGUAGUCCACGCCGUAAACGUUGGGCACUAGGUGUGGGGUCUAUUCAACGGACUCCGUGCCGUCGCUAACGCAUUAAGUGCCCCGCCUGGGGAGUACGGCCGCAAGGCUAAAACUCAAAGGAAUUGACGGGGGCCCGCACAAGCAGCGGAGCAUGUUGCUUAAUUCGAGGCAACGCGAAGAACCUUACCUGGGUUUGACAUGUAGGGAAAAGCCAUAGAGAUAUGGUGUCCUUAGGGGUCCUACACAGGUGGUGCAUGGUUGUCGUCAGCUCGUGUCGUGAGAUGUUGGGUUAAGUCCCGCAACGAGCGCAACCCUUGUCCUAUGUUGCCAGCACGUUAUGGUGGGGACUCGUAGGAGACUGCCGGGGUCAACUCGGAGGAAGGUGGGGACGACGUCAAAUCAUCAUGCCCCUUAUAUCCAGGGCUGCAAACAUGCUACAAUGGCCGGUACAAAGGGCUGCUAAACCGUGAGGUGGAGCGAAUCCCAUAAAGCCGGUCUCAGUUCGGAUUGGAGUCUGCAACUCGACUCCA
rnacentral:rRNA from 1 species